UGGGGAAUAUUGCACAAUGGGGGAAACCCUGAUGCAGCGACGCCGCAUGAAGGAUGAAGUAUUUCGGUAUGUAAACUUCUAUCAGCAGGGAAGAAAAUGACGGUACCUGACUAAGAAGCCCCGGCUAACUACGUGCCAGCAGCCGCGGUAAUACGUAGGGGGCAAGCGUUAUCCGGAUUUACUGGGUGUAAAGGGAGCGUAGACGGCUGUGCAAGUCUGGAGUGAAAACCCGGGGCUCAACCCCGGGAUUGCUUUGGAAACUGUGUAGCUGGAGUACCGGAGAGGCAAGUGGAAUUCCUAGUGUAGCGGUGAAAUGCGUAGAUAUUAGGAGGAACACCAGUGGCGAAGGCGGCUUGCUGGACGGUAACUGACGUUGAGGCUCGAAAGCGUGGGGAGCAAACAGG
rnacentral:rRNA from 1 species